UGAUGAUGGAGGCUCCAUUCGUCAUCUGUCCCCAAACUACAAUGCAAUCUCAAUCCAUUUACCCGAUGAAAGCCACAUGUCAGGAUGUGUGAUACCGUUCAAUCCGUGAGGAAAGCGCCCUCCAAGAAUGGAAGCGAUGCUGAGAUGAUCAAACGCCUUUCGGGUCACGUCAUCUAUCCAUCUAAAGCUUCUCUUCAAACCACUGGAGGGAAUCCCUCACCCCCUCCCAAAUAACACCAAAUCACUCACUUUUCCGGCUCUUCGUCUCCUCCCCAUCCCCCGCCGGAAGACGUGUCAGGAACCGACGUCUGUCACACUGUCCCACGGCGGCCUCUUGAUCCAACAAGACAUCACUUUCCGCCUGUGCUCGUCAACCUGGUCCCUCGCGUUAACCAAUCACCAUCCCUCCAACCAUUUGUGUCUUGUACAGGUGUUUCUGGUUUUCUUGUCAGUUUGCUUGUAUUUAGUUCUUGGGUUUCUUUCACUUCUCUUUUGACUGUUGUCACUAUCACGUUGGUUUGCUCCUGAUGAUUUGUUUGUUUGAGUUUAGGUUUCUCCAGAUCUUUGUUAGUGCUUUUUGUUCAGAGUUUUCCCGAAGUAUACCUGCUGGUGUUUUUGUUAAUAAACACUCUUGAGUACCCCUUGCUACUCCUGGGUUGUUGAUCCCACCAUGCAAUUUUAGCAAACCUGUCACAAGAUGGAGUCAUACCAGAUCACCCAAGACAAAACCUAAUUCAAGUCAUUUCCUCGCAUGAUAACAUGUGGUGCACAGUGUUGAGCAGAAUGGGCACAAACAUCCAAUUGCCUUAUUGCCUCUUCCACUUCCAAAUCCCUUCAAAUUUUAGCCCUUGAAUGCUUUCCCAAAUUUUCAUGGUGAAAGCCAUCAAAGCUAACUAAAGCACAAAACCUUUCAUUUGGUGUCUUAGAAUUCUAUUUUUCUACUACUAUCAACCACCAGGAACAGGUUGUAAUGCUUUUGAUUGAGCAGCAUAUGAGUGACAUCUCACGACAGCACAUUACCAAAUUGCUAUUGGGACACCAUUACACUUAUGGGGCCCCUUAAUGCCUUCAUGCAUCCCUCUCUCCACUCAUUGUGUGGGAGUGAAGGACUGGCCUGGACCCCCACCCAUCUAACACAGGCAUAGACUAACACACACUGAGCAGAAAAUAACUUUGAAAGAGGACAGUUUAAAAAAAAAAUGUGUUGCCCUGUUUAUCUCCAUCUUGGGAGCUAAUCCAAUUACACACGUGGCCAUUUGCAUCCAUCAGGCUACAACCAACAGAGAAGGUCCACUAGUGUACAACAUGGCGGAGGGAGAAGCGUGCAGCAACGUCCCAGAAGAAUUGUGUGUGUUAUGGUACCGUAACACACAGUCGAUGUGUGUUUGUGUGCGUGUCAGGCUUUAUUAUGGCGGUCAUUAGGACUCAUAUCUGUGUGCUAAUGUCGAGCAGAUGUUGAGAAGAAAGGGAUCAUUUGAAAAGGGCAAAUGUAAAUAAACAUCCCUCCCUCACCGGACCCCCUCUGAAGGGGGGCUGAAAGAAAACACUUAAUCAAUCUCCAUCAGCGGCGUUAAUAUUGUCAUCUUUAGGGGUCUCGUCUGAAUGGCCUUGUUAAUGAUUUCCUCACAAAUUAUAUUUAUAAUGACACUUUUUGUUCUGGGAAUCAAAUUAAGUCAGAAACCCUAAUUUUCUAAUCUAUAAAAAUCAUAUUUAUGCCAUUUUUCAAAAUGUGUAUUCAAAAACAAAAAAUAAAAUAUGUAGAUAUUUAAAUAAAUAUUUUUGUGGUGCCUGCAAUGCAAGUGCAUUCACGAGAUGGCUAAGAGGAGUGUCAUUCAUUCAUUCAUUCAUUCAUUCAUUCAUUCAUUCAUUCAUUCUCCAGACUGCUCAUGCCCUUUGACUUGUAUUCCUUGGCCACCAGGAGGCAGUAUAAUGCAGCCAUUCAUAAUAAACAAAGAAGAAUUGUGAAAGUAGUCAUUUUUAUUUAAUUAAUAAUAUUGUUAUAUUGUCUGUGUGUUGCUGCACAAAUCAUGUUGCUAAAAUAAUUGUAACCAUGGCGACACUGAUGCGAGUUUCAUUUGGCCUUCUGUUGGCAUUUGUUACACUGUUGCAGGCUAAUUUGAAAUUGGAAGGAUGGAAACAACAAUGUAAAAAAAUAAAAGGUUAACCACUUGUGUGUAUACUUGC